CGGAAAGAUUCAGAAUUUCACUUCUUCAGCUCUUGUGAGUACGCUUACAUAAACUUUAAACUUUUGCAUAAACGUUUUUCGGUUACUCGUGCUAAUCUCUUCAAAGUGAAAGCUGAACAGUUAGUAAUGGCCGAUUGCUUUUUCCACCUCUCACUCAUCAGCAUCACGGAAAGACAAGAAAAAAAGGUAGAAGGAUAGAGGGAAGUAGCGGUCCCAAGAGGUGUAUUAGGCGUUUUGAUGACUCGACUCGACACGUCGACAUUUUCUUUCGACAUCGUCGUUUUCUUGCCUUUGAUCUGCAACAUAUAUUUCACCUACUAAAACACGAUUACUGAACAUCCCCUGCCCCUGCAUUCAAGGAUAAUGGAGUUUGAUUGCAGAAGACUACCCUUAGUCUCACUGGGGCUGUUCCAGGAAAGUUCUGAAUUUUUCCCAUAUAGCCACACUCAAGAUCCAGUAGACACAGGUUAACUCUAAAAUCCUAGAAAUUAAAAGAUUCACCGACAAAUUAAGUA